rnacentral:RNase_MRP_RNA from 14 species
GUGCAGAGAGUGCCAGUGGGAAACUGCAGGGCCCAGGCGAGGUCGCAGGUGGCAAGGCCUCGAGCGGAGCCGCAGCACUUUGCUUGGGUCGGUCGCAGCAUCACAGACAUGCCGUGAGCGCCCAGUGGGGCGCCAACAGAACGGGGCUCACUCUCC